GACGAACGCUGGCGGCGUGCUUAACACAUGCAAGUCGAACGGAAAGGCCCUGCUUUUGUGGGGUGCUCGAGUGGCGAACGGGUGAGUAACACGUGAGUAACCUGCCCUUGACUUUGGGAUAACUUCAGGAAACUGGGGCUAAUACCGGAUAGGAGCUCCUGCUGCAUGGUGGGGGUUGGAAAGUUUCGGCGGUUGGGGAUGGACUCGCGGCUUAUCAGCUUGUUGGUGGGGUAGUGGCUUACCAAGGCUUUGACGGGUAGCCGGCCUGAGAGGGUGACCGGCCACAUUGGGACUGAGAUACGGCCCAGACUGCUACGGGAGGCAGCAGUGGGGAGUAUGGCACAAUGGGCGGAAGCCUGAUGCAGCAACGCCGCGUGCGGGAUGACGGCCUUCGGGUUGUAAACCGCUUUCGCCUGUGACGAAGCGUGAGUGACGGUAAUGGGUAAAGAAGCACCGGCUAACUACGUG
rnacentral:rRNA from 1 species